GACGAACGCUGGCGGCGUGCUUAACACAUGCAAGUCGAACGGAAAGGCCCUGCUUUUGUGGGGUGCUCGAGUGGCGAACGGGUGAGUAACACGUGAGUAACCUGCCCUUGACUUUGGGAUAACUUCAGGAAACUGGGGCUAAUACCGGAUAGGAGCUCCUGCUGCAUGGUGGGGGUUGGAAAGUUUCGGCGGUUGGGGAUGGACUCGCGGCUUAUGCGCUUGUUGGUGGGGUAGUGGCUUACCAAGGCUUUGACGGGUAGCAGGCCUUGGAGGGUGACCGGCCACAUUGGGACUGAGAUACGGCCCAGACUCCUACGGGACGCAGCAGUGGGGAAUAUUGCACAAUGGGCGGAAGCCUGAUGCAGCAACGCCGCGUGCGGGAUGACGGCCUUCGGGUUGUAAACCGCUUUCGCCUGUGACGAAGCGUGAGUGACGGUAAUGGGUAAAGAAGCACCGGCUAACUACGUG
rnacentral:rRNA from 1 species